rnacentral:rRNA from 1 species
CGCUGGCGGCGUGGAUAGACAUGCAAGUCGAACGGGAUUUGUUUUGUAGUAAUACAAGAUGAGUUUAGUGGCGAACGGGUGCGUAACACGUGGGCAAUCUGCCGAAAAGUGGGGGAUAGCCCGCCGAAAGGCGAAUUAAUACCGCAUGUGGUUAAGAGGGGCAUCUCUCUGAUACCAAAGCCGGGGUAACCUGGCGCUUUUUGAUGAGCCCGCGGCCUAUCAGCUUGUUGGUGAGGUAACGGCUCACCAAGGCUAUGACGGGUAGCUGGUCUGAGAGGACGACCAGCCACACUGGAACUGAGACAGGGUCCACACACCUACGGGUGGCAGCAGUCGAGAAUUUUUCUCAAUGGGGGAAACCCUGAAGGAGCGACGCCGCGUGGAGGAUGAAGGUUUUCGGAUUGUAAACUCCUGUCAUUGGGGAACAAUUGCACGGGUUUAACUGACCUGUGUUUGAUAGUACCCGAAGAGGAAGAGACGGCUAACUCUGUGCCAGCAGCCGCGGUAAUACAGAGGUCUCGAGCGUUGUUCGGAUUCAUUGGGCGUAAAGGGUGCGUAGCGGCGAGGUAAGUUGGAUGUGAAAUCCCGGGGCUCAACCCUGGAACUGCAUUCAAUACUGCCUUGCUAGAG